rnacentral:rRNA from 1 species
AAUAGAUACCCAGGUAGUCCACCCCGUAAACGUUGGGAACUAGUUGUGGGGACCAUUCCACGGUUUCCGUGACGCAGCUAACGCAUUAAGUUCCCCGCCUGGGGAGUACGGCCGCAAGGCUAAAACUCAAAGGAAUUGACGGGGACCCGCACAAGCGGCGGAGCAUGCGGAUUAAUUCGAUGCAACGCGAAGAACCUUACCAAGGCUUGACAUAUACGAGAACGGGCCAGAAAUGGUCAACUCUUUGGACACUCGUAAACAGGUGGUGCAUGGUUGUCGUCAGCUCGUGUCGUGAGAUGUUGGGUUAAGUCCCGGCAACGAGCGCAACCCUCGUUCUAUGUUGCCAGCACGUAAUGGUGGGAACUCAUGGGAUACUGCCGGGGUCAACUCGGAGGAAGGUGGGGAUGACGUCAAAUCAUCAUGCCCCCUUAUGUCUUGGGGCUUCACGCAUGCUACAAUGGCCGGUACAAAGGGCUGCAAUACCGUAAGGUGGAGCGAAUCCCGAAAAACGCGGUCCCAGUUCGGAUUGAGGUCUGCAACUCGACCUCAUGGAAC